ACGCUGGCGGCGUGCCUAAUACAUGCAAGUCGAGCGGAUCUUCAUUAGCUUGCUUUUGAAGAUCAGCGGCGGACGGGUGAGUAACACGUGGGCAACCUGCCUGUAAGACUGGGAUAACUUCGGGAAACCGGAGCUAAUACCGGAUAAUCCUUUCCCUCACAUGAGGGAAAGCUGAAAGACGGUUUCGGCUGUCACUUACAGAUGGGCCCGCGGCGCAUUAGCUAGUUGGUGAGGUAACGGCUCACCAAGGCAACGAUGCGUAGCCGACCUGAGAGGGUGAUCGGCCACACUGGGACUGAGACACGGCCCAGACUCCUACGGGAGGCAGCAGUAGGGAAUCUUCCGCAAUGGACGAAAGUCUGACGGAGCAACGCCGCGUGAACGAUGAAGGCUUUCGGGUCGUAAAGUUCUGUUGUCAGGGAAGAACAAGUAUCGGAGUAACUGCCGGUACCUUGACGGUACCUGACCAGAAAGCCACGGCUAACUACGUGCCAGCAGCCGCGGUAAUACGUAGGUGGCAAGCGUUGUCCGGAAUUAUUGGGCGUAAAGCGCGCGCAGGCGGUUCCUUAAGUCUGAUGUGAAAGCCCCCGGCUCAACCGGGGAGGGUCAUUGGAAACUGGGGAACUUGAGUGCAGAAGAGGAGAGCGGAAUUCCACGUGUAGCGGUGAAAUGCGUAGAGAUGUGGAGGAACACCAGUGGCGAAGGCGGCUCUCUGGUCUGUAACUGACGCUGAGGCGCGAAAGCGUGGGGAGCGAACAGGAUUAGAUACCCUGGUAGUCCACGCCGUAAACGAUGAGUGCUAAGUGUUAGAGGGUUUCCGCCCUUUAGUGCUGCAGCAAACGCAUUAAGCACUCCGCCUGGGGAGUACGGCCGCAAGGCUGAAACUCAAAGGAAUUGACGGGGGCCCGCACAAGC
rnacentral:rRNA from 1 species